CGUCGUUUCGUUUAAUUGAUUAAAAAAAAAAGAAAUAAUUAAAGGGGGAUCACUGUCCCUUGUUACCUCAGCCUUCACACUAGUCAAUCAUCCCUUCCCUUUUUGAAAACCAAUCAGAAAUCGUGAGCCCCCAAAUCCCAGCAGGCAGCAGGAACUCCUUCAAUGCCCCGUCUAUCCUGUUUUGUUGUCCUUUAUUUCUAGCCUUCAAGCAAAGUCAGCCGCCAACCUCUAGCAGCCAACCCGUUGGUUCGUUUCCACUUUUCUCGCAAUUUUUGGAUGCUUUUUACCGUUUUAAAGUUCACCCCUCCCCUCCACUAUUUCUAGCUUCACCACUUUGUGGAGGUGCUUAAAUGGAUUAAAAAUGAUGGCAACCAAGACAAUUUUGGUGAAGCAAGUAAGUUAUUCCAUGACAUACAAAAUUUUGAUUUGUGUUUCACCUUUUUCUGAUGGCACUUAUAUUGGGAAUUAUAAAUGAGUUAUCACAAACAUUACAAAAGAAAGAUCAAGAAAUUGUGAAUGAGAUUGCGUUAGUGGAAGUAUGCAAGCAAAGACUACAAUCCUUGAGAGAUGAUGACUUUGAGGACUUGCUUGAUGAUGUACAAAAGUUUUGUGAUGAACAUGAUAUUAUCGUUCCUAACAUGGAGGAUUUGCAUUUCGUACCUGAAAAAUCAAGACGUAAAGCUUCAAGGAUCACAAAAUUUCAUUACUAUCGUGUGGACCUCUAUCUUCAAGUCCUUGAUAUGCAACCAAAGGAAUUGAAUGAUCGCUUCAAUGAGGUAAACACCAAGUUGCUUCUUUAUGUUGUAUGUAUAAGUCCGAUGAAUAAUUAUACAUCUUUUGACAAAGCAAAAAUUGUUCGUUUAGCUCAACUUUAUCCUCAAGAUUUUGAUCACAUGGACCUCAUGAAUCUUCCAAUUCAACUUGACAAUUACAUUCAUGAUAUGAAGAUGCAUAAUGAGUUUCAAUCAUUGAGAGGAAUUAAUGAUCUUGCAAAGGAGUUGAAGAAGACCAGGAGGUGUGCCAUUGUUGAAUCUAGAAAUUCUGCAGCUCAAAGAAAUGAGAAGGUUUGAGAAAAGUAACAUUGGUCCAUUCAUUAAGUAAUUGAGGUUAUAGCUCAGAGUCUCUCAAUCUGUAAAAGUUUGAUUGAGAAUAUUUGUGCUAUAAUUGAACCCUCAAGCGACAUAUCAUUUGAGUCACAUUUGUUGUGUUAGUGCCACAAGUGAAGAAACUCAACCUUGAGUUGCCGUUCCUGUGAA